AUACUCUGGUUUCUCUUCAGAUCGUAUAAAUCGUUCGCCUUUUGUUAAAGGUUUUCGUGGAGAAGUACAUUACGAGUAUCAACUAAUUUAUUGAUGGCCGAUCUACCUAUUCUUA